rnacentral:snRNA from 2 species
CAGGGGAGAGCGCGAACGCAGUCCCCCACUACCACAAAUUAUGCAGUCGAGUUUCCCGCAUUUGGGGAAAUCGCAGGGGUCAGCACAUCCGGAGUGCAAUGGAUAAGCCUCGCCCUGGGAAAACCACCUUCGUGAUCAUGGUAUCUCCCCUGCCAGGUAAGUAU